rnacentral:lncRNA from 1 species
AAUUACAAAGAGAACUAAGUUCCCCCCUCGGCCUAACCCGAUGAAACCUCCAAAGCACUCUCUAGCUUGGAUGAGUCUUACAACUUAUACUAGACUUCAUCUCUAUUUAUAAUAAAAUGUAGAAGUAAAAACCUAUAAGAAAAGUAAAUAAGAAAAUUGCAACCCUAUAUAAUUUCCAAAUUAGCUAAAUAGAAAUUUUUGUAACAUUGUGGAGCGCUCCAAACCGGCCUUGUCCUCAAGGCUAGAUUCAAAA